rnacentral:rRNA from 1 species
UACGUAGGGGGCAAGCGUUGUCCGGAAUGAUUGGGCGUAAAGGGCGCGUAGGCGGCCAUGUAAGUCUGGAGUGAAAGUCCUUCUUUUAAGGAGGGAAUUGCUUUGGAUACUGUAUGGCUUGAGUGCUGGAGAGGUCAUCGGAAUUCCCAGUGUAGCGGUGAAAUGCGUAGAGAUUGGGAAGAACACCAGUGGCGAAGGCGGGUGACUGGACAGUAACUGACGCUGAGGCGCGAAAGUGUGGGGAGCAAAC